rnacentral:hammerhead_ribozyme from 1 species
AUCCGGCUGAUGAGUCCCACGUAGGGCGAAACGCUCAUUCCGGAU